rnacentral:rRNA from 1 species
AUUGAACGCUGGCGGCAGGCCUAACACAUGCAAGUCGAGCGAGCGGCGGACGGGUGAGUAAUGUCUGGGAAACUGCCUGAUGGAGGGGGAUAACUACUGGAAACGGUAGCUAAUACCGCAUACCAUCAGAUGUGCCCAGAUGGGAUUAGCUAGUAGGUGGGGUAAUGGCGCACCUAGGCGACGAUCCCUAGAUGGUCUGAGAGGAUGACCAGCCACACGGGAACUGAGACACGGUCCAGACUCCUACGGGAGGCAGCAGUGGGGAAGAUUGCAAAAUGGGCGCAAGCCUGAUGCAGCCAUGCCGCGUGUAUGAAGAAGGCCUUCGGGUUGUAAAGUACUUUCAGCGGGGAGGCGUUACCAACAGAAUAAGCACCGGCUAACUUCGUGCCAGCCGCCGCGGUAAUAC